UAAGAAUUUAUGCUAAUAAAACACUUCAGUAAAAUGCUAAAAUAUCCAUUAACGACAUCACACACGACAUCCAGUCCAGUUUUAACAGUCAACCAGUUCGUGUUAGCUAACUUAAAUCAAACAAAAUGUAUAAGAAUUAUUUAAUUCUAUUCGUUUUAGCAGUUCUGAUUGAUUUCGGAAAUUGUUGGCAAGUGUUUCCGUUGCCCGAUGCGCCGGCGCCGGCGGUUAAAGCCGUAGAUUUUGUGAAGGCAACUCCGGGGUUGCCGAAAACUCCAGUAGUUAGUCCAACUAAUGAAUAUACUCCAAAUAAACUUAAUGUUCGACCAACGAGUGUCAAUCCCGUGUUAUCUAAGCAACAUGUCAGCGUGCCAGCAACGGAUCUGCUCCCACCGAAGAUGAACUAUGUCACCUACGAACAGAAAUAAACCACACAUCAACUAUGACUGAAAAAAUACAUGGAACGUUCUAUACCACCUACUCUGCCUAGCGUGCCAGUACACUGAUAACCAAAAUUAUCGCUCAUAACUAGUUUGCGUUUCAAACUAUGCAAUGGAAUGCAUGUCAAUCAUAUUUUGGAUUUUUGUUUGUUCGUUUGUCGGCUCGUUUAUCUGUCUGUGUGCCUGUCUAUGGACGCACCACUUGAAAAGUAAUGGAUAGAUUUAGCUAAUAUUUAGUUGUUGGUACUUAGAUUAUAAUGAAGAUUAUUUUGACCAGGAUAAGUUUAACUGAUUGAGGUCAACACCAUAAAAAAUAUAACCUAAGUAACAAAUUUUGUACAAAAAUAUAUAAGUAAGAAAAAAUAAUGUAAAGGUUGUAUGAGUUGCUUUACAGCGUUUUCACACUAGUGGAUUUUCCGAUCGGCUUUUUUGUGGGUAUACUGACAAUAAACAGUUGACUACUGGAUGCUGAUUCAAACCUGGUAUCUCGAGACCAAGCAAAAUUUGUCGUACGCGAAAAAUUGAGAAAAUCCGCUAGUGUGUCAAAGAAACAGUGAGUUUUGUUAAGUCGGUAACUUAUAUGACGUUUCUCAUAUGAGGCAUAUGUCAAAAAAACUAUCGGAAGAUCAUUAUUAUACACUUUUUUACUCGUAACUCAACGAAUCGAAUUUGUUUUUCAGAGAAAACUGAUAUCUUAGAAAUAGAUAAACAACUUUUUAUCGACUUCAUUUCUGUUACAUUUUUUCUCAAUUUUCAUCUGAUUAUGAUAAAGUCUGUAUUUAUUUCUGUAGAAUCCCAGACAACUAAUUUACAUAGUAAUUAGAUUUUUUUACCAUUAAACUGGGGAAUCCCCUUAUACUUUACAAAAAUUCAAGAAUCAUGGUCGAGUCAAAUGCAAAAAAAACAUAUUUCUCAACAAUUGUAUGUUUAUCUGUUAAUUUAAAUUAAAUGUUGUGAAGUUGUGUACAUGU